ACAGGAUGUUCUUGGUUCUUCUCUUCCUGAACCCUUCCUGAAAAGAUUGGCAUGGCCCCUACGCAAGGAUGAAACACAAAUUAGUGAAGCGUUCCAUAUUUUU